AAACUUAAAGGAAUUGACGGGGACCCGCACAAGCGGUGGAUGAUGUGGUUUAAUUCGAUGCAACGCGAAAAACCUUACCCACCUUUGACAUGGCAGGAAUCCUGAAGAGAUUCGGGAGUGCUCGAAAGAGAACCUGCACACAGGUGCUGCAUGGCUGUCGUCAGCUCGUGUCGUGAGAUGUUGGGUUAAGUCCCGCAACGAGCGCAACCCUUGCCAUUAGUUGCUACGAAAGGGCACUCUAAUGGGACUGCCGGUGACAAACCGGAGGAAGGUGGGGAUGACGUCAAGUCCUCAUGGCCCUUAUAGGUGGGGCUACACACGUCAUACAAUGGCCGGUACAGAGGGUAGCCAACCCGCGAGGGGGAGCCAAUCCCGCAAAGCCGGUCGUAGUCCGGAUCGCAGUCUGCAACUCGACUGCGUGAAGUCGGAAUCGCUAGUAAUCGCGGAUCAGAAUGUCGCGGUGAAUACGUUCCCGGGUCUUGUACACACCGCCCGUCACACCAUGGGAGCGGGUUCUGCCAGAAGUAGUUAGCCUAACCGCAAGGAGGGCGAUUACCACGGCAGGGUUCGUGACUGGGGUGAAGUCGUAACAAGGUAGCCGUAUCGGAAGGUGCGGCUGGAUCACCUCCUUUUGAG
rnacentral:rRNA from 1 species